rnacentral:rRNA from 1 species
GACGAACGCUGGCGGCGUGCUUAACACAUGCAAGUCGAACGGAAAGGCCCUGCUUUUGUGGGGUGCUCGAGUGGCGAACGGGUGAGUAACACGUGAGUAACCUGCCCUUGACUGUGGGAUAACUUCAGGAAACUGGGGCUAAUACCGGAUAGGAGCUCCUGCUGCAGGGUGGGGGUUGGAAAGUUUCGGCGGUUGGGGAUGGACUCGCGGCUGAUCAGCUUGUUGGUGGGGUAGUGGAUUACCAAGGCUUUGACGGGUAGCCGGCCUGAGAGGGUGACAGGACACACUGGGAUGGGAAUACGGCACGGACUCGUACGGGACGCAGCAGUGGGGUAUAUUGCACAAUGGGCGGAACCCUGAUGCAGCAACGCCGCGUGCGGGAUGACGGGCUUCGGGUUGUAAACCGCUUUCGCCUGUGACGAAGCGUGAGUGACGGUAAUGGGUAAAGAAGCACCGGCUAACUACGUG